AAUGAGGUGCCUGACAAAAGGCUUAUUUUGAUAGAAUAAAUUAUGUAAUUCAAUAUUACUCUCAUUA
rnacentral:tRNA from 1 species